rnacentral:rRNA from 1 species
CCUACGGGAGGCAGCAGUGAGGAAUAUUGGUCAAUGGACGAAAGUCUGAACCAGCCAUGCCGCGUGCAGGAAGACGGCUCUAGGAGUGGUAAACUGCUUUUGUACGAGGGUAAACGCAGAUCAGUGUAUGUGUCUGAAAGUAUCGUACGAAUAAGGAUCGGCUAACUCCGUGCCAGCAGCCGCGGUAAUACGGAGGGUUCAAGCGUUAUCCGGAUUUAUUGGGUUUAAAGGGUGGGUAGGCGGUCGGAUAAGUUAGAGGUGAAAUCCAGAGGCUCAACUUCGGAAUUGCCUCUGAUACUGUUCGGCUAGAGUGUAGUUGCGGUAGGCGGAAUGUAUGGUGUAGCGGUGAAAUGCUUAGAGAUCAUACAGAACACCGAUUGCGAAGGCAGCUUACCGAGCUACUUCUGACGUUGAGGCACGAAAGCGUGGGGAGCAAACAGGAUUAGAUACCCUAGUAGUC